UGGGGAAUAUUGGACAAUGGGCGCAAGCCUGAUCCAGCCAUGCCGCGUGUGUGAAGAAGGCCUUUUGGUUGUAAAGCACUUUAAGCGAGGAGGAGGCUACUUGGAUUAAUACUCUAGGAUAGUGGACGUUACUCGCAGAAUAAGCACCGGCUAACUCUGUGCCAGCAGCCGCGGUAAUACAGAGGGUGCGAGCGUUAAUCGGAUUUACUGGGCGUAAAGCGUGCGUAGGCGGCUUUUUAAGUCGGAUGUGAAAUCUCUGAGCUUAACUUAGGAAUUGCAUUCGAUACUGGGAAGCUAGAGUAUGGGAGAGGAUGGUAGAAUUCCAGGUGUAGCGGUGAAAUGCGUAGAGAUCUGGAGGAAUACCGAUGGCGAAGGCAGCCAUCUGGCCUAAUACUGACGCUGAGGUACGAAAGCAUGGGGAGCAAACAGG
rnacentral:rRNA from 1 species